CACACACAGGGACUUGAUUAGUGAAGCUUCCAGUGUGUACACAAACAGGACCGACAGCAAGACACAAUUAUAUAUAGUUUACGCUGAUGUGGAGAGUUUGUUGUGGUCUGCUGCUGGUGGUGCAUGUUCAGUAAAUGUAUUAUUUUAAUCAAGUUCAUUGUAUUAGGUUGUUGUGGUACAGGACAUUUUUCAUGAUGGCUGUGGGCGCUUGUUUUCCUUUCUUUCAUGGAAUAUGUUUUUUUUUUUUGCUGUUGUGUGACAGUUAAUGAUAAAUGUGCUUCCAUAUGAUUUAUAUUUCAUUUUAAUAUGUAUUAAGUUUAAAAUGAACUGUUAUUAACAAUAUAAUUGAAUGUAAUAGAAUACAAAGUGAUAACAUUUGUUAUUUAUAUCUUUUGUAUUUUAUUAACAUGUUUUGAGUUAGUCUCAUGUUGAUAGAGAGUCGGUGUUGAACUUGACUGCGAGAGGCGUGUUGUGAAGAUAAAUGCUGUACUGAGCUGCUAAACUGAGCUGCUAAACUGACCUGCGAGGUGAAACUGAUCCAAAGGACAGAGCUGUAGUGCUGCAUGAAUGUGAUGUGCUCUGGAUGUUCCGGACAAACAAAAAGAGAAAAGAAAUGAUUAUAUUUUCCAGCUGCAGUAUUUCCAGAGAGGGCGAGUGCGGGAGGACUGUGACUGGGCAGGAGAUGGCAGAAGGAAGUGACGAAUCAGGAAGUGAGAUGGGGUUUGAAGAAGAUGGCGGGAGAGAUAGGAGUGUAUGGAACGUAGUAAGAUCGAGAAAACGGGAAAAAAAAGGAAAAGAGAAUGUCUAACACAGAGGAAACAGAUAGCGAGCAAAGUGUUAGCUUAGGAAAAAAACAGGAAGAGGAACACAAAGUAAUCAUAACAUUAUCUCAAGAAGGGACAACGUUUGGUGAGUGGAGUGCGGUUCAGCUAACAAAAUCGAUAGACAAACUACUGGGUGAGGUCAAAAGUGCUAAAAUAUUGAGAAUUGGAUCUCUACUGAUUAUUUGUAGAAAUAAAGCCCAGCAAGGGAAAGCCAUGCAACUGAAUAAAAUAGAUGGUAAGAGAGUUCACUGUUCGUUGAUUGGAUAUAAAAAUGGGUUUGAGGCAUCAUCUCAGGGAUACCUACAGGUGUUACAGAGGAACAAAUAAAAGACAAUAUCUCAGGGGCAAAAGUACUAGAAGCAAAACGUCUUAAAACAACUAGAAAUGGGGAGAAAUGCGACAGCUUGGCUGUGAUGAUUAAGAUUGACGACUCUAGACUGCCAAGUAAGGUGUACAUAGGAUAUAUGAGCUAUGAGGUCAGGCCAUAUAUUCGUCCACCAAUGAGAUGCUUUAAAUGCCAAAAAUAUGGCCAUGUAGCAGCAAUAUGUAAGGGCAAACAGAGAUGUGGCAGGUGUGCAGGUGAACAUGAGUACGGGAAGUGUGGAGAAGGUGUAAAGCUCGAAUGCUGCAACUGUGGAGGAGAGCACAGCUCAGCGUACCGUGGCUGUGAAGCCAGCAAGAAGGCAGUGGAGGUGCAACGAGUGAAGACAUCGCAAGGAAUAACGUAUGCGGAAGCAGUAAAGAAAGUGUCUGGUGAAAGGAAGGACUAUAAACCAGAAAAUAAAGAUAGACCUUGCGGGGGCUGUGAAAAGAUUGCAGUAAGGAAAGAUAUGCUAAUUAUGAGCAGGAAAGAAUUUGCGUUGUUUAUGGUUGAGGUUAUAAAUUGCUCAGCACAGACCGAGAGAAAGACUGAAAAGAUCAAAAUAAUAAUAAAAUCAGCUGAUAAAUACCUUGGUAUUAAAGGACUCAGCAGUGAAGGAGUGGAAGAAAUGUUAACUGCAGGAAUCUCUAACUCUCAGUCAUGGGCCGGUGGCUCUUCAUGAUCCUAGUUAUAUUGCAGUGGAAUGCCAGGAGUCUUAUAGCUAAUGGACAAGAAUUCAAAAAGUUUGUGACUGAUCUGUUAGAUAAACCUCAUGUAAUAUGUGUGCAAGAGACGUGGUUAAAACCACAGUUAGACUUUGUGAUUUAUGGAUAUACUACAAUCAGAAACGAUAGGGAAACGGGUAAAGGUGGAGGGGUAGCAACUUUUGUAAGAAAUGAUGUGAAAUAUAACCUAGUCAAUAAAGGGAAAGAACAUGAAUCUGUGGUAGUCAGAAUAUGGACAGGAAAAGACAGGUUGUCAGUACUCUCUAAAAACAAAUGUUUAGGCUCAACAAAACAUUAACACAACAGUUUGCAAUACAUCAAUCAUUUUGAGUUAUGACAACUUUAAAUUAAUUUCAACCAAUGAACUACACCGAGUUAGAGAAAUGACCUUUUCCUCUACAAUCAAAUUUAUUUUCAAUUAAAACUUAUUUAAUAAUUUGUAUAAUAAACACAAGUUUUUUAAUUGAUUACUCAUAAAAAUCAAGUUGCUCCAACUAGUUUUUUUCACAUUAUUUAAAAGGAAUUUAAGUGUUAUGUACUUUAUUACCAUAAUUCUGAACACAAGUUGUUAAGUUGACAAUCUUUUUUUUUUUAAUUCCGUUGCUCCAUUUAGAUUUUCUCCAGUAGAAUGCAGUCUUUUAAACCAGGAGAAAUUACUAACUUCAAGUUGUAUAACAAUAGUAACUAAAAUCAAGCAUAAUUUACACUACAAAUCUCAUACCUAACAUCUCUGCAGGUUUAUAGACAUAAAAGCACUGAAAGAAAUGAGCAAUAUAGACAAAAAUGAAACACUCUGCGUCUACUACUUUUAUCUCUCAUAGAACUAUCCACAGUCCAAAGGCUGCUAAUUCUGCUCAAAGAGCA